rnacentral:rRNA from 1 species
UACGUAGGGUGCGAGCGUUGUCCGGAAUUACUGGGCGUAAAGAGCUCGUAGGUGGUUUGUCGCGUUGUUCGUGAAAACUCACAGCUUAACUGUGGGCGUGCGGGCGAUACGGGCAGACUGGAGUACUGCAGGGGAGACUGGAAUUCCUGGUGUAGCGGUGGAAUGCGCAGAUAUCAGGAGGAACACCGGUGGCGAAGGCGGGUCUCUGGGACGGUACUGACGCUGAGACGCGAAAGCGCGGGGAGCGAACAGG